rnacentral:rRNA from 1 species
UACGGGGGGGGGCAAGCGUUGUUCGGAAUUACUGGGCGUAAAGGGCUCGUAGGGGGCCUUCUAAGUCGGACGUGAAAUCCCUCGGCUUAACCGAGGAACUGCGUCCGAGACUGAAAGGCUUGAAUCCGGGAGAGGGAUGUGGAAUUCCAGGUGUAGCGGUGAAAUGCGUAGAUAUCUGGAGGAACACCGGUGGCGAAGGCGGUUCUCUGGGCCUUACCUGACGCUGAGGAGCGAAAGCGUGGGGAGCGAACAGG